AAAUGCGAUAAGUAAUGUGAAUUGCAGAAUUCAGUGAAUCAUCGAAUCUUUGAACGCACAUUGCGCCCGCCAGUAUUCUGGCGGGCAUGCCUGUUCGAGCGUCAUUUCAACCAUCAAGCCCCUCGCUUGUGUUGGGGACCUGCGGCUGCCGCAGGCCCUGAAAACCAGUGGCGGGCUCGCUGUCACACCGGGCGUAGUAGAUUUUAUCUCGCUCAGGGCGUGCUGCGGGUUCCGGCCGUUAAAAAGCCUUUUUUACCCAAGGUUGACCUCGGAUCAGGUAGGAAGACCCGCUGAACUUAAGC
rnacentral:misc_RNA from 1 species